UGGAAUCAACAUCACCCCUUCCCCCGAAUUCCCACGCACCCACAUGCGUCUGUUCCUCAGUCUCCGCUGACCCCAGGGAGCUGCUCAUCUGAUUUUUACCACUCCAAGUUCGUGUCGCCUUUUGGUAACUGCAAUCAUACGCAUCCAUACCUGAAGGCGGAAGGCAGGAUUGCCGGCGGAGAAGAGAUCCAGGUGCCUUGAUGUGAGUGUUGACGGUGGAAAGCAGGCCAGAGCCAGCUCCGGGUGCCAGCUGGAGCCCCAGAAGAGGAUCAGGCAUCGUGUUUAGUCACAACCCCCACUCCUUCAUUGGGCCAGCAAAUAUCUAUCCAUCUUCCCACCGUCUACUCGCAGCCAACCAUGUUCCUGACACUGAAGCCAGAGAAGACCAGUGUCUCCCUGUAAACCGUGGCCUUCUGUGCACCGAGCUCAGUGGCUCUUCCCCACCAAAACUCCUAAGAGAAUUCAUCCCUCCCCAAAAGGAUCCCCACGAGAUGUUCUGGCCCUCUGCUGACUGCUCCCUGGAAUCUGCACCUCAAGCACUGAGAAUGCUGCGCUCUCCAUUGGUCACCGUCAGACUCCAUUUCCCUGCUGCCAAGUCUUCUCUUCUGCCCUGUGUAUUCCGUGGUGACCCCCUUAAUGUCUGUUCUGUGCCACUAGCUUGGCCCUGGGCCUUUUAUUUAUACCCGAGUCUUACAACGAAGAGUGUCCUGAGCAGACAGUGUCCACCUUCUUUGCUCUUCAGGGGCCUGAGUGUGCUCCUUUCCCUUUUGCAGGUCUAUUGGACAUAGUAAUCCAGUGCGCUGGGGAGGGGUAGCCAGGCCGGCUACAGAGUCUGCAAUGCAGGGGCUUGGGGAGGUUUGGAUUCUCUCUGUCAGCACUAUUGAGAUGAUAUUCAGAAGAGAGAGGACCUCAUACUGUGACCAGACCCAGGACCCUUCCUGGAAGACAGCUCAGUCCAGCUGUGUGUGUGUGUGUGUGUGUGUGUGUGUGUGUGUGUGAGAGAGAGAGAGAGUUAUGUGUGUGCUGUGCUCAUGUGCAUCUGGGUGUAAAAUGACUGUUAGCUGGUUGUGUUACUCAGGGUGGGCUGGGGACUCACUGGAAGAAUCCCCCCAGCCUGCCCAAGACAGGUUUUUUCCUUGUGCCCUCUUCAGAGAGGGUCAGGGGAAGAGGGUCCAGGUGGGCAAAGGCGGAGAUGCCACAAAUGAUUAACCACUAAGGCCAGACGGCUGCCAGGAGGAGUGGGGGAUGAUGAGGUGGCCCCAGGGUCCGGGCAAUUGGCUUUGGUUUUCCGUCUUCUUUCCUCAGGAUGCCCCUGAGGCCUGGGACCUGUGCCUGGCUUUGAGGAGCAUCUGUGGCUUGGCGAUCCAGCUGCUGGGGUGAUCGUGGGCUUCCCUCCUCUCAGCAGGGCUGGAGUUCUUGCCCCAGAGACUGGACAAGUGGCUGUUUCUGUGACAUAUUUAUUUUUACUGGCGUUUCAUGUCGCUUAAAAAAAAAACAAACAGAAAAAUUGUAAGUCAGUAUAAUUGCCUAUCAGUUUUCCUUAUUUCACUUUUUGUAAGAUAAAAUUAAAACUCCAGGAAGCAGUGUUAUUUGAUCGAGGAAUGGUCUGGACACUGGGUUGGCUGGGUGGUAGUGAAAGGAAUAGAUCUUAGAACACAGUGGGCUCUGCGAUAGCCCUUGGGUGGUGAGACAGGCAGGAACAGAGGGAAGAUUGCUGGCAGUUUCUUUGUUACAGUGGGGUUCACUGGGCUUUUUCUGCUUUUGUUUACCUGAAGAGGGAUGUAUUUCCAGGCUCCAGGGGAAACAGCAA
rnacentral:lncRNA from 1 species